rnacentral:lncRNA from 1 species
ACAAUGAAGUUUGUGGUUAAGAAAAAAAUUAAAGAAAUUUUAAACAUACUUUAAAAAAAUUUCCAGAUCCCCCUGGAAAUCCUGAGCCAAGAGAAAAUAUUUGGGAAAAGUGACAGAAAUGGCCCUCAUGUGCCAUCCCGGGAAAGAGAGAGGACACUUCUUAGGGUUGCCCAGGGGCACAGUGGCCACCUGCAGCAGACCAGAUGGAUCUGUGCAAAGAACAUCAGCAGAAAGCAGAGCUGACAAGAGGCCAG